rnacentral:lncRNA from 10 species
GGUUGGAAGAUUAAUUUGAGAUAAGUGUUCAGUUCUGGGCUGGGCAGUCGUGCCGGGCACGGGAAAUUCAGGUUCUUUAAGGGAAAGGCCUGAUGUGCUAAGACGAAAUCUAUACCGUGUGUAGCCGCUUAUGAGAAUAUGAAACUAAGGAGAGCCACAGAUGGACUCACCCUGUCACCCAGGUUGGACUGCACUGGCCUCAACCUCCUGAGUUCAAGUGAUCGUCCCACCUCAGCCUCCCCAGUAGCUGGGACCAUAGCUGUGCAGCAUCAUGCCUGGCUAAUUUUUUAAGUUUUUUGUUGAGAUGGUGGUCUCGCCCUGUUGCUCAGGCUGGCCUCAAACUCCUGGGCUGAAGCAGUCCUCCCACCUCAGCCUCCCAAAGUGCUUGGAUUAGAGGCGUGAGCCACCAUUCCUGGCUCCUUGGACAAUAUUUUAUUCCUCAGAUUAAGACACGUCCUUGGGAUGGGGCUGCAUUGGAUAAUUCACCGAAGGCACCGCUGAAUGGAGUGGGCCCUCAGUAAAUACCUGGAGGAAUGUGACCUGGCCAGUGAGGUUAUUUUCUUUUGUAGGUGAAAGGUGUAGCAGUCACUCGGCCUACACCCACAGCAUCGACCUUGUGAACCCAGCGACCUGACUGCCUUGGGAGAAUUGAAGCGAAUGAGAGUGGGGAGUGUGAGAGGUGCGUUUGGUGCAGCAUUUCUGGCAUGGGAACAGAACUGGCCAGGAGGAAGUGACGUCUGGGUUCUGCCCGCACACAUUCCUCGCCACCUUCUUGGUGUCUGAGAACCUCCAGCUUCACCUCCUUUUCUGGACCCGAGGGCCUGGCGGAGCUUCCAGCUGGGACCAGACCUCCAUGGAUCCACUC